AUUGAACGCUGGCGGCAGGCCUAACACAUGCAAGUCGAACGAGUGGCGGACGGGUGAGUAAUGUCUGGGAAACUGCCCGAUGGAGGGGGAUAACUACUGGAAACGGUAGCUAAUACCGCAUACUCUCGGAUGUGCCCAGAUGGGAUGAGCUAGUAGGUGGGGUAACGGCUCACCUAAGCGACGAUCCCUAGCUGGUCUGAGAGGAUGACCAGCCACACUGGAACCGGGACACGGUCAAGACUCCGAAGGGAGGCAGCAGUGGGGAAUAAUGCACAAUGGGGGCAACCCUGACGCAUACAUGCCGAGGGUAUGGAGAGGGCCUUCGGGUUGUAAAGCACUUUCAGCGAGGAGGGGUUACUCGCAGAAGAAGCACCGGCUAAGUCCGUGCCAGCGGCCGCGGUAAUUC
rnacentral:rRNA from 1 species